UUUUCUAUUCUCUCUGUGAACACAGAGAAGCUAUAGAAAUGUCCAUCGUUGCCGACCUAGGAGGUUGUACUCAUGCUUCAAUGUUUGACCCAGCUCUCAUUUCUUCUGCUAUUGGAUGAUAUGGGCGAUGGCCGACUCAUCAACUUCUUCAAUGUCUCUCAUCUCAAACAAAUCAAAACCCUAAUCCCUCACCCACCACCGCCCUCAUGUCUCACCUAACCACCACCAUCGUUCGCCGCCAAGCCACACCAGUGGAGAAACCGUGACAACUUGAUGAACGGUUGCUUCGGAGCAGACGCAAAGAUAACUUUUAGGGUUCAUGUAUGAAUCUGGUCUUUAUUCUUGAAUUUUUUUGAUAUUUGAUGACAGUGGUAUGAAUCUUUUAUUGAUUUUUUGAAAAAUUAUUAAUCUUUUCUUGAAUUUUUGGGGGGAUUUGGUGUGAUGCGUAUGGAUAACUUGGGAUUUGAUGAGAUGGGUGUUCAAGUGAAUUUUAGGUUACAAUUGGUUAGCUUGUAGGAAUGUUGUAAUAUGUUGUUUAUCUGAUCUAUUUGGGACCGCAUCCUCCUUUAAUUCUAGGCUGCUCUAGAUCAUUUGAACCAGUGAACAGAUAUAGAGACUUCUCUUGGGGCUGUGGUUACUAAAAAUAAUCAAGACAAGAUCCGUGAAACAACCUGUCUAAACGGAGGUAUUACUUUGCACUUGGCUGCUAUCAAUGGACACAUGUGUUGCAUUCGGAUCCUACUGUCUCAUUAUAUCCCUAGCAUUCCUACAUUUUUAUAAACUUUUCAAAAAAAUCAAGAAUUUAAGAAUGUGUGUCUGAAUCCAUUGACCGGUAUGCUUCAAGAAACGUUGAUUUAUCGUAACCUCACUUUAUGAUAUAAUUAGCAACCUCCUGAUGGGCGAUGGGGGUGUGACUGCUCUUUAUUUGACUGCGGGUUUUAUGUGAGAUGUGUGGUUUAAUGGAAUUAAUCUAAACCACACAUCAUAUUACAUCUACAAACUAAGAGAUGAAAUGGUUUCAUCAUUUCACAAGGAGAUACUAUACACAAAAUCAGCUGCACAUAACGAAAAAUGCAUUUUGGGUGCAUUAGUGAGUUAACAAACCGUGAAGCAUAUUGCGCACCUCAUCCAGUUAAUACAGCUUAUGUCUUUAUGUUUGCUUAUUCAUUGUUAACAAUUGCCUAACGAUUACAAAACCUCCUACUUUUUAAAGUCAUUUAUUGGGUAUUUGAUGUUAGUCAAGAGUUCGUUCGAUGUGUUUGAAUUGUUCCUGUAACAUAAAAAGUACCCACAACGAAGUUAAAAGGUUC
rnacentral:lncRNA from 1 species